UCGAGAAUUUUUCUCAAUGGGGGAAACCCUGAAGGAGCGACGCCGCGUGGAGGAUGAAGGUCUUCGGAUUGUAAACUCCUGUCAUUUGGGAACAAGUUGCAGCGAUUAACUGUCGUUGCAUUGAUAGUACCAGAAGAGGAAGAGACGGCUAACUCUGUGCCAGCAGCCGCGGUAAUACAGAGGUCUCAAGCGUUGUUCGGAUUCAUUGGGCGUAAAGGGUGCGUAGGUGGCGCCAUAAGUCAGGUGUGAAAUCUCGGGGCUCAACCUCGAAACUGCACUUGAUACUGUGGUGCUUGAGUACUGGAGAGGAGAUUGGAAUUUACGGUGUAGCAGUGAAAUGCGUAGAUAUCGUAAGGAAGACCAGUGGCGAAGGCGAAUCUCUGGACAGUUACUGACACUGAGGCACGAAGGCCAGGGGAGCAAACGG
rnacentral:rRNA from 1 species